GACUACUGGGGUAUCUAAUCCUGUUUGCUCCCCACGCUUUCGCGCCUCAGCGUCAGUAAUGAACCAGGUCGCCGCCUUCGCCACCGGUGUUCUUCCCAAUAUCUACGAAUUUCACCUCUACACUGGGAAUUCCACGACCCUCUUUCACACUCAAGUCUGACCGUAUUAAGUGCAGCCCCCAGGUUAAGCCCAGGAAUUUCACACCUAACUGAUCAAACCGCCUACGCGCCCUUUACGCCCAGUCAUUCCGAGCAACGCUAGCCCCCUUCGUAUUACCGCGGCUGCUGGCACGAAGUUAGCCGGGGCUUCUUCUGCGGGUACCGUCAUCAUCGUCCCCGCCGAAAGGACUUUACAAUCCGAAGACCUUCUUCAUCCACGCGGCAUUGCUGGAUCAGGGUUGCCCCCAUUGUCCAAUAUUCCCCACUGCAGCCACCCGUAGG
rnacentral:rRNA from 1 species